CUUCAUACAUAAAGCACCUUAGCAAAGUGCGUUAGGCAUGUGGAGUGUCCUAUAAGUUGCCUUUUUCAUGGACGUAUAUAAAGUAUGACCUGUCAGUAAGAAAUGGACAACAGAAGGGGCUUUAGUAUAAUCAGACAAGGCAUAUAAUAGAGGCAGCAUUAGCCUCUGUCACCCUGAAUCAACAUGUGCAUAAAGUAAAACUUAACUUGGCAAGCUAUUACAUUUGUACUCUUGUACAUAACAGAACAUUUAUUUUUGAUAAAUUCCACUAGUUUUCUAUUUUUUUUUAUUUCAGUCCACUUUCAGCCGAUAAAGUAAUUUUAUUACACAUGCAACAUAUUAGUGGCGGAAUCCUUCAUGCUAUCACUGUUAAAGGGAAAAUUCUAAGUGGAUUUCGAAUUUAAGGCCACAAGACUUGGAAUGGAAAGAGAAUUUUUCCAGUUUGGCUAUUUUGACCUUAAAUUUUAUAUUCGCUUUGAAUUCAACUUGAAUUUUCACUAUAGUGAAUAACCCUAUAUAAUUCCUAGGCAGGACUGCACCAUUUUCUUCACACUAAACAGUCUCUGUACCACCAUUUUGCACUCCUUAAUAUAUUUAUUUCUUACGCAGUAUUAAUCAGUUUGGUGAUUAGUCUUACUCCAUAUCUCGUCAGGUUCAUCAGACAAUGUGUUGGGUGACAUAGUUUAUUUUAGAUUGCCUAGAUGACAAAUCCAGUUAUGAUGACUUGCCUCUCCCUACAUCAGACAGCAGCCUGGACCAAACAUUGUGGGUUACAAUGACUGCCAUCAAAGGGUAAUAAAAAAAGAUUUUCAAUAAAUGUAUAAACCUUUCACUUUUAAUUCACUUCCAAAGAAAACCUGUCUGGAAAAAAAAAAAUAAAACAGUAAAAUAAUUAUUAUAAUUAACAAAUGUCAAACUCUGCCAAGAUCUGCCUUAUUUCACAACAGCUAAACUCACUAACUGGUAUCAGAAGACCAUUUUCUAGUAUUUUAAAGUAGUGGUUCAUUACCCCUAUGUCGUGACCCAAAAUUGGUUACCUUUUGGUAAAAACAGACACAUUAUACUCAAUACAUUAAACUGCCAACAAUAAAUUGCACAGCUUUCCCCAGAGCAAUGAAAACUCAACUGACAUUCAAGUCAAGAGUCAACUGAAGAUUAUACCCCCGAAACAGGUGAAUACUAGCAAUAAAAGCCCACUGAAUGGAGCGUGUGGCAGCGUGAGAACCCUCCCUGACUGGCGAGCGUAGCCACAAGCAUAGGGGGACCUGACAGGCAACAUGGAAACCCAGAGAAGAAGGGUAGGUGAAGGAGAGGGAGCUGGGAAGGGUAGGGAGAAGGGGGCUACACAGACCCAGGCCACCCAGGUAGGGGAUCCCUGUUUGACAGGGAACUCACAGACCCAAACACUACCACAAGAUAUAUA